UGGGGAAUAUUGCGCAAUGGGGGAAACCCUGACGCAGCGACGCCGCGUGAAGGAAGAAGGCCUUCGGGUUGUAAACUUCUUUGAUCGGGGACGAAGGAAGACGGUACCCGAGGAACAAGCCACGGCUAACUACGUGCCAGCAGCCGCGGUAAUACGUAGGUGGCGAGCGUUGUCCGGAAUUACUGGGCGUAAAGGGCGUGUAGGCGGGGGGACAAGUCAGAUGUGAAAUACCGGGGCUUAACCUCGGGGGUGCAUCUGAAACUGGUGCUCUUGAGUGCCGGAGAGGAAAGCGGAAUUCCCAGUGUAGCGGUGAAAUGCGUAGAUAUUGGGAGGAACACCAGUGGCGAAGGCGGCUUUCUGGACGGUAACUGACGCUUAGGCGCGAAAGCGUGGGGAGCAAACAGG
rnacentral:rRNA from 1 species